rnacentral:tRNA from 1 species
GCCCCCAUAGCUCAACGGAUAGAGCAACAGCCUUCUAAGCUGAAGAUCUAGGUUCGAUUCCUGGUGGGGGUACAA